CAGUCGCCGCGGGAAUACGGAGGGGGCUAGCGUUGUUCGGAAUUACUGGGCGUAAAGCGCACGUAGGCGGCUUGGUAAGUUAGAGGUGAAAGCCCGGAGCUCAACUCCGGAAUUGCCUUUAAGACUGCCGAGCUAGCAGGUGAGAGAGGUAAGUGGAAUUCCGAGUGUAGAGGUGAAAUUCGUAGAUAUUCGGAAGAACACCAGUGGCGAAGGCGGCUUACUGGCUCAUACUGGACGCUGAGGUGCGAAAGCGUGGGGAGCAAACAGGAUUAGAUACCCCUGUAGUCCCUGUCUCUUAUAA
rnacentral:rRNA from 1 species